GCCGGUGCGUAUAGCGUUGAGGUUCCACCCGUUCCCUUUCCGAACACGGCAGUUAAGCUCAGCCGCGGCCACGAUACUCGAGGGGCGACCCUCCGGGAAAAUAGCUCCGCGCCGGCA
rnacentral:rRNA from 1 species